UUCCGGUUGAUCCUGCCGGACCUGACUGCUAUCGGAUUGAUACUAAGCCAUGCGAGUCUUUGCAGUAAUGCAAGGCAUACGGCUCAGUAACACGUAGUCAACUUACCCUAUGGACGAGGAUAACCUCGGGAAACUGAGCAUAAUACUCGAUAGAUCAUAAUGCCUGGAAUGGUUUAUGGUUAAAAUGAUUCAUCGCCAUAGGAUGGGACUGCGGCCUAUCAGCUUGUUGGUGAGGUAAUGGCCCACCAAGGCGAUUACAGGUACGGGCUCUGAGAGGAGAAGCCCGGAGAUGGGUACUGAGACAAGGACCCAGGCCCUAUGGGGCGCAGCAGGCGAGAAAACUUUGCAAUGUGCGAAAGCACGACAAGGUUAAUCCGAGUGAUUUCUGCUAAAGAAAUCUUUUGCAAGUCAUAAAACCACUAGUGAAUAAGGGGUGGGCAAGUUCUGGUGUCAGCCGCCGCGGUAAAACCAGCACCUCAAGUGGUCAGGAGGAUUAUUGGGCCUAAAGCAUCCGUAGCCGGCUCUGUAAGUUUUCGGUUAAAUCCAUGUGCUCAACACAUGGGCUGCCGAAAAUACUGCAUAGCUAGGGAGUGGGAGAGGUAGACGGUACUCGGUAGGAAGGGGUAAAAUCCUUUGAUCUAUCGAUGACCACCUGUGGCGAAGGCGGUCUACCAGAACACGUUCGACGGUGAGGGAUGAAAGCUGGGGGAGCAAACCGGAUUAGAUACCCGGGUAGUCCCAGCUGUAAACGAUGCAGACUCGAUGAUGCAUUGGCAUAUAGCCAGUGCAGUGUCGCAGGGAAGCCGUUAAGUCUGCCGCCUGGGAAGUACGUACGCAAGUAUGAAACUUAAAGGAAUUGGCGGGGGAGCACCACAAGGGGUGAAGCCUGCGGGUUCAAUUGGAUUCAACGCCGGA
rnacentral:rRNA from 1 species